AGCCAUGCAGUCGACGCCCCUAGCCGCCGGUGGGGCGUGGCGCACCGCUCAGUAACACGUAGUCAACCUACCCCGUGGACGGGGACAAAGUCGGGAAACUGACUGUAAUCCCCGAUAGGAGAAGGGAUCUGGAACGCCCCUUCUCCCAAAGGCUUACGGAACCGUGCAUCCGUGGGCGCCGCGGGAUGGGACUGCGACCGAUCAGGUAGAUGGUGGGGUAACGGCCCACCAUGCCGAUAACCGGUACGGGCCCUGAGAGGGGGAGCCCGGAGAUGGACCCUGAGACAAUGGUCCAGGCCCUACGGGGCGCGGCAGGCGCGAAACCUCCGCUAUGUGCGAAAGCAUGACGGGGUUACUCCGAGUGCCGGGUGCUGAAUUCGGCUUUUUCCCGGUCCAAAAGGCCGGGGGAAUAAGGGGAGGGCAAGAUUGGUGUCAGCCGCCGCGGUAAAACCAACUCCCCGAGUGGUCGGGAUGAUUAUUGGGCUUAAAGCGUCCGUAGCCGGUUCGGUAAGUUCUCCGUUAAAUCUGACGUCCGAAGCGUCAGGCCGCGGGGAAUACUGCCGGGCUUGGGAGUGGGAGAGGCCGACGGUACUCUCUGGGGAGGGGUAAAAUCCUUAGAGCCAGGGAAGACUAUCAGUGGCGAAGGCGGUCGGCUAGAACACGUCCGACGGUGAGGGACGAAAGCUGGGGGAGCGAUCCGGAUUAGAUACCCGGGUAGUCCCAGCCGUAAACGAUG
rnacentral:rRNA from 1 species